UACGAAGGGGGCUAGCGUUGCUCGGAAUUACUGGGCGUAAAGCGCACGUAGGCGGUCUUUUAAGUCGGGGGUGAAAUCCUGGAGCUCAACUCCAGAACUGCCUUCGAUACUGGGAGCUCGGAGUCCGGGAGAGGUGAGUGGGAACUGCGAGUGUAGAGGUGAAAUUUCGUAGAUAUUCGCAAGAACACCAGUGGCGAAGGCGGCUCACUGGCCCGGUACUGACGCUGAGGUGCGAAAGCGUGGGGAGCAAACAGGG
rnacentral:rRNA from 1 species